GCAGCAAUGGCGCACCACUGCUCUAGGGUUUACCACCCCGGCUCGCCCUCCACAAUGCAGAGACCGCUCGCAAGGCCAUCGACUCAUGCGGGAUCGGCAAGUCUGAGCUUCCCACGUGCUCGGCCUAAUUCGGUGCCCAUCGUGCGAUGCCACGCGGACCCGCCGCCGGAGGGAGGCACCGUGGCGGGAUGGGCGCCUCCGGGGCCGUACACAGGGAGGGACCCGGAGGCGAGGAAGCCGGCGUGGCUGAGGCAGCGGGCGGCACAGGGGGAGAAGUACACGAGGCUGAGGGAGACGCUCGGCGAGCUCAGGCUCAACACCGUCUGUGUCGAGGCCCCAUGCCCCAACAUCGGCGAGUGUUGGAAUGGCGGCGGCGGCGGCGCAGGCGGGGAACGGGACGGCGGCAUUGCGACGGCGAAGAUCAUGCUUCUCGGUGACACCUGUACCCGUGGUUGCCGAUUCUGUGCCGUGAAAACCAGCAGCAAGCCUCCGCCGCCCGAUGCCCUGGAGCCUCUGAAGACUGCAGUGGCAGUUGCAAGUUGGGGAGUAGACUAUGUUGUGCUGACAAGUGUGGAUAGAGAUGACCUUCCUGAUGGCGGAAGUGACCAUUUUGCGCAAGCAGUGAAGGCUCUAAAGGAAUUGAAACCUGGUAUACUGGUGGAGUGUUUAACUUCAGAUUUCCGAGGUGACUUGGAGGCAGUUUCAUCCUUGGCAAACUCUGGUUUGGAUGUGUUUGCACACAACAUUGAAACUGUGAGGAGCCUGCAGAGAAUAGUCAGAGAUCCUCGAGCAGCAUAUGAUCAGAGUUUAGCUGUUCUGAAACAUGCAAAAAAUUGCAAAGACGGCAUGGUAACAAAGUCCUCUAUCAUGCUUGGUCUAGGUUUGAUGUUUGAACUACUUUGCUGGUGCUGUUUAUAUCCUCCUGGACUUCCUCUGUUUUUAUUGUUGCAACAACCAAUGCUCCUUGCUUAUACCGCCAACAGAAAGACACUUGCGGGUCAGAGAAUAUGUGACCCCUGAGAAGUUCGAUUUCUGGAAGAAGUAUGGAGAAUCUUUGGGUUUUCUUUAUGUUGCUAGUGGACCCCUGGUUCGGUCUUCAUAUCGUGCGGGAGAGCUUUUUGUUCAAAAUCUGGUCAGACGUAAAAAAAUCAAGCUUGCACCUACUGUGCACUAACCAAAUAUUACUGUACAUCCGAUGGCCUGGUGCAAUUCUUUGACGAGGGUUGUGCACUGAAGUUUGUGUGCUGAUGCCAGCAGUAAUGGUGGCACAAUCGGGUCCAGAGGCUCAAAGUUACAUGCGGUAAUACUGGUACUCGUUAUUCUAGUCAUGCUGUAAAUCUGCUGCAGCCUGAGAUCGUCAAUUUUUUAUUCGUGACACUUUAUUACUAUGGAAACGUGAUCAAUCAUACCGAAUGCUAAAAUUCGUGUUAGUGACCAUGACGCUUUAGGCUAUGUUCUUUUCUGAUUCUGGAUUUUGAUUUUUUAUUUGCACUCUUCUGAAGCUUCUAAACGUUGCAUCUCGCACAGAAAGUUU